GGGGGAUAAAAAAAGGUUUACAAGUAGAGGAGCAAGCCAAUAAUGAUGGUAAAACAAAGUGGAGAGGCAGAAGGGAAACAAUUGGCUUCUCCAACUGAAGGAGAACAUGAGAACAUGGCAACUGGCAGGCUCAACGACAGAUGUCGAAUCUUAAAUUGGCUAAGCUAUUAAUGUUGCAGCAUAAAGUGUGUUGUGUAAUGCAAUCACCAUUGCUGGGUGUUUUUUUUUUCAGUGGGGCCUUUCCAUUUCUGCUCAAACAGCUCCUUGUCUGCUACCCACUACUUGACCUAACCUAACCCCAUCUCUUCUUUCCUCUUCCCCUGCUUUAGCAUUGCCAAAAAAAGCAUUGUAGCAUGUCAACAAAAACCUUCGUAUGAACUUACUAGUUUUUUUAUAUAAAUUUUUUUUAAAAAUAUAUUAAAACUGAUAAAGGAGUAUUAAAUAGAAACAACAAAUUUUAAAAUUGAAUGAAUCCCAAAUCAAAUGGAUCAGAUGGGUGAUGGAAAUUUCAAUUGGUUUUAUAAGAAAUAAAAAAAAUGUGGAGAUAAAAUUUCAAAGCUGUCGUGGUCCUAUUCAACUCCACAAAAUCCUUCAAAUGGCUAAGGAUGAAUGCCCUGUCAUUUUGGCGGAGAAUCCUCCACCGCUCGAAAGAAAAAGUAGAGCUAAUAAUCAAUUAAAGGCCUAAAUCAUUUGCCUUAUGCUUAGGUAUGAGAUAGCAUAAUACGGGCACUAACUUAACCAUUGCAGAUAACAAGAUACCAUGAGAGAGGAGGAUCAGGUUUAAAGACGAGAGCUUUAGUUAAAAUAAAAUUUACGUAUUUUUUAACAUAGACUCAGAUUUAAGUUACAGUUUCGUAUUUCUUAACUCUAAAAAAAGGUAUGAAAUGAUUAUGUUAUAUGUAUGGGAGGGUUAUGAAGUUUAACUAUAAAAGGGUAAAACUAGGAGAGGUCAUCUUCAAACCAAGCUCACGUCAUGUUUGUUCUUACUUUAUUUUUGCACCUAACCUUUUUGGGUUUUGUUAAUAAACAUUUCUUUUUGAGCCGUGGAUCUAAUGAUGAUAUUAUCUUUUCAAACUCCAACAUUCGGUCUAAAUUUAAAAGAGUUUAGAUAAAAAUAUUAAAUUUAAAUAAAAAAUUAAUCUCGCUUGAAAUAUGGACUGAAUUCAAAUUUAAACUUUUAUGAUAGUAAUUAUUCUUUUCUUAAUGUAAUAAUAAUUCUUUAAUGAUUAUUAAAACAUUAGUAGAAUGUUGAGAAUAUGAUAUAUUAUAAAUUAAAACUUUCUUUUCUUAAUAAUUAAAUUGACUAUAAUAAUUAAUUUGAACGUGCUGACUUUAUUUUUCAUCCUCUUAUGUUUCUCCUUUUAUUUUCUUAUCUUCUCAAUUUCUUUUAAUAUAUCAAGAAGAUAAAUUGUCAGUGAAAAAAUAAGUAGGAAGUCGAAAUCAUCAUUGACUAUAAUCAAAACCCAUAAACCCAUACCAUGAUUCUUUUUUCACUGCCAAUGAUAUGUUAAAAAAAAUGAAGAAUGUAGGAAAAUAGAGGGGGAAACAAAAGAGAAUGAAAAAUAAAGAAAAAAAGAAAGUUAAAAGAACAUGAAAAAAAAAAUUGCUCAAAACGAAAAAUAUAAUUUAACCUAAAUUUUUUGUUUGAAAUGAUAAUUUAACAUACCAUGUCAGGUUAUUGUUAAUUGUUAAUAGCAAUUAAUGACUCAGUAACUAAAAUGUUACAACAUGAUAACGUAAGUGACUAAAACGUAACAUUUCAACCUAAGUGACUAAAAUGUAACUUGAGGUAAACAAAAGUGACCAUAGAUGUAAUUUACCCUACAACGAACAACAAAAGAUAUAUUAGUAAGUUCAAAACUUAAUAAAAAUUUUGAUUAAUUUUUUAUAAGGUGUAAUAAAUGAAUAAUUAUUAUUAUUUAUUUAUUUUGCUUUCAUUGUCUAUAAUAAUAAUAAUAAUAAUAAUAUUAUUAUUAUUAUGUAUUCAUCUGAUAUUCUAAUAAAUGAUUUUAUGCACUAGUUUUUUAGGGUAGAUUUUAUACCGAGUACACUUCGUUAAAACAUAAGUUACAUAAAUUUAUUUUUAAAAGCUUUGCUAUAUUCAACCCUUUUAUAACAAGCAAAUUGUUUGUCAAAAUUUUAAAUUUUAUAGAGAAAUACUUAUUAUGUAAUUAUAACAAUAUUUGAAAUUUACAUCUUAUUAAUUUUUUAAAAAUUUUAAAUUAUAAUAUAUUAAUAAUAUCAAUAAGGAGAUCCAAAUUAUAUCUUAAUUAAGAUUUAUUUUUUUAUUUCACUUAAAAAUAUAAACAAUUUCACUAAAAUUUGAGAUAAAAGGUUGUUAUAGAAAACUAAAUUAGUAUAUGAAGUGUACAUACUUUUUAGUUGUUUAUUGUUAUAAAUGAAAAGUUGUUAUAAAGGGUAAAAAUAAAAUACAAAAAAUCAUAUCUAUAACAAACUUGACUAUGAUAAUGAAAUAUUAUUAUAGAGUGUGGCUGUUAUAGAGAAGGCUCACUGUAAAUCAUUAAUUGAUUAAUUGAUAAUAUAUAAAAGGAUAAAUUAUACUGACAAUCACUCAACUUUGGACUCAAUGACAAAACAGUCACUCAACUUUCAAAAAAUAACAAAUAAGUCAUACUAACCAUUUUUUGUUACAGACGUAAUGGAAAGUUGACUUGUCACCCCAAUGUGUAAAUGACCCAAAUUUAAAACCCUAGCUAGGUUGGGCAGUAAAAGAAAAAGAAGAAGAAGAGAAAAAUUUUAGAGUGGUUCAACAACAGCAUGAGGCUGUGGAUUUCAAUGACGGCGGUAGAGCAAGCUUCACAAAGAACAAUUCUGGUGACUAGAAUGAUCAAGAGUUUUUCUUCUCUGUAUCUGGCUAAAUGCACCUCUAAUCUCUGUUUGAAAACUCGUAUAACAUUGCCUUAUUCUGUGUUGGGGAAAUGAGAAGAAUUGCAAGAAAAUGAGGAAGAAGAAUAAGAGAAAACAAAGGUGACACGCAGAGUAGAGGCAACAGUAACAACAAUGUCUAUGGUAGUGGCAAGGAUUAGCGAACUUAAAAAUGCCAUAGCUUUUUUUUGGCAUCUCCAUUUCUUCUCUUCUUCUUCUUCUUCUUCUUCUUCUUCUUCUUCUUCUUCUUCUUCUUCUUCUUCUUCUUCUUCUUCUUCUUCUUCUUCUUCUUAUUCUUAUUGUUAACUAGCCACGGUCAAUGGCUCAGAUCAUAGAGGAUUCAUACCAGAUGCUUUGGACAUAGAAUCUACCAUGGUUUAAGGAUAAAAUGAUGUGAUUGUUGCUGUUGCAAUCGAGUUCGAACUGAUGGUCGUCGCAGUUGGGAGGUUGGGUUGGUAAUCAUAAAGGGUAACUCAUUGUAACAUUUCCACAAAUGGUUGGGUUGCAAUAUUUGUUUCUGGUUUUGGCGACACAAGAUUGCAACUGUGGUUUGGCAACACAACAAUGGCUAGUCAAAUCUUCCCAUGCCAAAACCCAAACUAGAUUCUAGUAAUUCAAAACCCUAACUAGAUUUUGGUAAUUUGAAAUCCAAACCACGAGGGCAUAGAUUGGGAGUUGUGGUUUGAAAAAGUCUAGUUUCAGAAUGGCAGAAUUUAGAGACAAAAUGUUAGUGGCCACGUCAGCUAAUUGAGUUAAUUAGGUUUCCAUCGUGGCUAGUUAACUGGCCACAUCAACUAGUUAACGAGCCACAUCACCUAUCCCGUUUGGUCUGUAAUGAAAAAUGUCAAUGGGUGAUUGAUUUUUAACUUUACAAUAACGUUUGUGGUUGAUUUGUUAUUUUUUAAAAGUUGAGUGACUGUUUUGUCAUUGAGAUCAAAGUUGAGUAAUUGUUGGUAUAACUUACCCUAUAUAAAAUUAUUCAUAAUCAAUACAUCACAUAUAUAUACUAGUUUCUUUAACAAGUGAUGCACGAAUUAAUUAUAUUUAUUAAUUAAAAUAUAUUAAAUUAUUUUAUAAUUUUUGCAUAAAUUUUCUAUAAAAUAUAGUAAAGAAAUUUCUAUAUAAUAUCUCACAGAUAAAAUAUUUUAAAAUUAAUUGAAAUAUUUUAAAGUAAAGUUAUUUUUAUUGAUAUUAUAUAUUUAAAGUGAAUUAAUAUUAUAAUAGUAAAAUAGUAAAAUAUUUAAAGUUUAAUUAAUUACUUUUAUUUUUUUAUGGUUGUGAAAUAUUUUUUUAUAAUACGAAUAAUAUUUCUCAAAAUGGAUUUCACGUUAAUUUAAUUUAAAUGAUUUUGAUAUGUCAAUGGAUGAAACUAUCCAAGUACAAAAAUAGAAAAUAUCUGUCACGUUAAAAGAUCUUAAAUGUUGUGUAUGAUGCUAGAUUAAGGAACAUUCACGUGAGUUAAUUAUAUAAUAAAUUUACUAAAAUUGAUAUAAAAUUUUUUUAUGUUAUUUAUUUCCAUUUUACUGUUUACAUUUGAGUUGAUUUGAAUUUUAUGAUUUUAAAAAUUUAUUUAAAUAUAAAAUAAGAAAAGUAUCUCAAAAUAUUUGCUAUUUUACAAAAAUGGAGAGGUAACAGGGUAUAGACAAGUGAAAGAACAGAGAAAAACCUUGAUUUAAUUACGGAAAGUAAGAGGCUGAGCCUGGUCCC
rnacentral:lncRNA from 1 species